AAACACAAAGCAAUGCUGAGAAGCCACAAAAUUAACUUUCGUGUUAAUUUUUGGUUCACGUAUUAAUUAACAAAAGCUGUUGAACUUAUUUCUCCUCUUAUUUUUGACUGAUUUGAAAUGUUUAUUGCAACGCUUGAACAAGAUUAUUAACUAAGAGUAUCAAAAUGCUUAUUUUCCUUUAAUGAAGAGGUCAAGGGAUAAGAAAUACUUAUGUUCCGUAACGUUUCAUGUUCAAGUUUCAGCAUUUAAGUAAUUGAAACUGGCUACUCUUUUCAAUUUCACGUAGGUGUACUUUAAAUUGGGUUUUUUAGGAUUCAAUUA